rnacentral:misc_RNA from 1 species
GAUGAAGAACGCAGCGAAAUGCGAUAAGUAAUGUGAAUUGCAGAAUUCAGUGAAUCAUCGAAUCUUUGAACGCACAUUGCGCCCCUUGGUAUUCCGGGGGGCAUGCCUGUUCGAGCGUCAUUACAACCCUCAAGCUCUGCUUGGUCUUGGGCGUCACCGGUCCCCGGUGUGCCUUAAAAUCAGUGGCGGCGCCAUCUGGCUCUAAGCGUAGUACAUACUCUCGCUACAGACGUCCGGUGGAUGCUGGCCAGCAACCCCCAAUUUAUCAAGGUUGACCUCGGAUCAGGUAGGGAUACCCGCUGAACUUAAGCAUAUCAAUAAGCGAGGA